UGGGGAAUAUUGCACAAUGGGCGCAAGCCUGAUGCAGCGACGCCGCGUGGGGGAUGACGGCCUUCGGGUUGUAAACUCCUUUCGUCAGGGACGAAGCGAAAGUGACGGUACCUGGAUAAGAAGCACCGGCUAACUACGUGCCAGCAGCCGCGGUAAUACGUAGGGUGCGAGCGUUGUCCGGAAUUACUGGGCGUAAAGAGCUCGUAGGUGGUUUGUCGCGUCGUUUGUGUAAGUCCACGGCUUAACUGUGGGACUGCAGGCGAUACGGGCAUAACUUGAGUGCUGUAGGGGAGACUGGAAUUCCUGGUGUAGCGGUGAAAUGCGCAGAUAUCAGGAGGAACACCGAUGGCGAAGGCAGGUCUCUGGGCAGUAACUGACGCUGAGGAGCGAAAGCAUGGGUAGCGAACAGG
rnacentral:rRNA from 1 species